GUCCCUCGGGGCGUUUGGAAAAUGUGGCGUUUAGGAGGGAGCGUGCCGAAGGGCGACCGUGCAGCAAGUCCCCCUGACCGGGGCUGUAACCCAGAGCGGGUGCGAGGCCCAUAGCUGCUAGGUUACCUUCGGAUGCGACCUCUCGGGAGUCGGGUUGCUUGGGAGUGCAACCCUAAUCGGGUGGUAAACUCCACCUAAGACUAAAUACGACCGUGAGACCGAUAGCAAACAAGUACCGUGAGGGAAAGUUGCAAAGAACUUUGAAGAGAGAGUUCAAGAGUACGUGAAACUGCUCAGAGGCAAACGGGUGGGCCCUCGAAAUCCUGUGGCGGGGGGAUUCAGUCAGGAAGGGCGGAGGCGCCUGUCGGCUUGAACGGACCCUCUCGGGGCCGGGUCGACGGCACGGUCUCCACUUGGCCUGACGCAUUUCCUCCCGCACGAAGGACGCCGCAACCGGUUGGGUAGCUGCGAGAGUCGGCCUUAAGGGCGAGCGCCGGCAGGUGGCCGGUGACGUGGCUUCGCGUCGCCGGUUGUUAGCCAGCUCGCUCGUGGCGCGACACCCGACCGAGGUCUAACAGCCCCUUUAGGGGCUUCGCCGUGCCCCACGUGGCGGGAGACGACAAGCGUGCUCCGAAGUCGUCGAGUCACUCUCGUAGUGGCCGGCGCUCCGGGCGCCGUGAUGGGCGUCAGCGGCUAGCGGCGAGUAGGUCGGUCACCCACCCGACCCGUCUUGAAACACGGACCAAGGAGUCUAACAUGUGCGCGAGUCAUUGGGUCUUGCUUAGGCCCAGAGGCGCAAUGAAAGUAAAGGCCGUCCCGAAGUCGGCUGUGUCGGGACUCUUCGUCCUCCGGGGCGGAGAAGCACCGACGACCCGUCCUAUCCGAUUCAUCGGUUGGGCGGAGUCUGAGCGUACACGUUGGGACCCGAAAGAUGGUGAACUAUGCCUGGGCAGGACGAAGCCAGAGGAAAC
rnacentral:rRNA from 1 species